rnacentral:rRNA from 1 species
UACGUAGGGUGCAAGCGUUAAUCGGAAUUACUGGGCGUAAAGCGUGCGCAGGCGGUUUUGUAAGUCAGAUGUGAAAUCCCCGGGCUUAACCUGGGAACUGCGUUUGAAACUACAAGGCUAGAGUGUGGCAGAGGGGGGUGGAAUUCCACGUGUAGCAGGUGAAAUGCGUAGAGAUGUGGAGGAACACCGAUGGCGAAGGCAGCCCCCUGGGUUAACACUGACGCUCAGGCACGAAAGCGUGGGGAGCAAACAGGAUUAGAU